rnacentral:rRNA from 1 species
UACGGAGGGUGCAAGCAUUGAUCGGAAUUACUGGGCGUAAAGGGCGCGUAGGCGGCUUAGCAAGUCGGAUGUGAAAUUCCGGGGCUCAACCCCGGAGCUGCAUUUGAAACUCCUAAGCUAGAGUUCAGUUAGGGUAAACGGAAUUCCACGUGUAGCGGUGAAAUGCGUAGAUAUGUGGAAGAACACCGGUGGUGAAGACGGUUUACUGGGUCGAGACUGACGCUGAGGCGCGAAAGCGUGGGGAGCAAACAGG